rnacentral:misc_RNA from 1 species
AAGAGCUAUGGGGAGAUGCUCCGAUUGAGAUGACGAAACCCGGUUGGGACCCGAAUUGGGUUGAUGAAGAGGAAGAUGAUAUCAUUGCAGAAGAGACUAAAGCGGGUCGAGACCCACCAAUUGCCCCGUUUUAUGUACCGUAUAGGAAGCCGUAUCCUGUGAUACCGGAUAAUAAUUAUGAUAUUUCCAAUCCCAAAUCUGUGAUUGAAGAGCUUGAUAGGAUUGAGGAGUUCUUGAAAUGGGUUAGCUACAUUUUUGUUGAUG